rnacentral:lncRNA from 10 species
CAAUGGGCAAGAGGUAUGCACAGAGAGCCACGGGAGUGGGCAGGGCCAGUUCAGGAAGGAAUCCCAGAGGCUUUUUGUCCCAAAGCCUACGCAUUCGUGCUGCUCUGACUUAAUGCAGUGCUCAGCUGUGCUGCAGAGUAACGACAAAGGCUGGGAGGAGAGGAAGUGGCUCACAGGCAGCUGAAGGUGUCAUUUUAAACAACGUGCUCUAAGUUAGCCUCAGAUGAGACUCUAGGAGAAGGCAUGGUGUUUCUUCUUGAUUGUCACUGUAUCCCAGGGGUACACGCACCCCAACCAGAGGCUUUGGAGGGUGUGCUUCCUGCCACCCUCAAGGGAGUUGUCUCUGUCAAGCUAACGGAUCCCGAGUUCCGGGGUGCCAGGCCGUAGUCUGCUUCAUUUUUAUCUGCACAAUAACCCGUGAGCCCAUACCAUCACCCCAUUUCACAGCUGAAGAAAUGGAUGCCCAGACAGGAUAAGUAGUUUGUACUAGAGGAUAACUACCUGGCUAACAAACCAACUAGUUAACUGGUUGGCCAGGAUUCAAAAUCUGACCCGCUUCAGAAUCGGGACUCGGACCACAGCGUGGCUUCAGAGAGCUCCUUCACCUGUGCUGGGCGUGCGUUGCCGUCGGGGAUGCGGCGGUGGUUAGCACACGUUCUCUUCACUCCCUGAACACAGAGGCUAGAGAACAGACCUGCAGACACACAGUGCCAGUGCUUGGCAGACACAAUCCUGGACGUCUGUGCUGUUAGGAACCGUCUGACGGGCGCCAGCAUCAGGCCUCGCUGCACACGGGCCUUGGAGCAAGCACAGCACCUGCUCAACAGCCAGCUCUGAGCACGGACCCUGCUUCCACCCUUCAGACAAACCAGCCACCAAGAGGCAUUUCUGGUCAUCAUCGAGCAUGACUCACCUUCAGCACCGGCUGAGCGAGGCCCAGAAGAUGACCAACUCCGUGGGGACCUGAGGUUGAUGUUGGACCGUAUUUACAUUCAGUGUUUGGGGCUGACCGGGAAGAAAUCUGAAAGUGGAAGAGAAGGGAAGGCACCGGUAACCUCGUCUUCCCAAGAGGAGGUCAGAGGGCAGUUCAGACAUUGAAGGAAGAGACAAAGAGCCUUGAAUGUCACGAAAAGGAGGUUGGACUUUAUCCUGCAGGCAAUCAGAAGCCAGAAAGGUUUCAGGAUGGAUGGGCUGAUCAGAUUUGAGUUUCAACAGGCCACUGUCACGUACCUGGGCUUUGAAGUAAGUUUCAUUAUCUCCAAUGCACAAAUGAAGAGACUGAG